GUGCCAGCAGCCGCGGUAAUACGAAGGGGGCUAGCGUUGCUCGGAAUCACUGGGCGUAAAGCGCACGUAGGCGGAUCUUUAAGUCAGGGGUGAAAUCCCGGAGCUCAACUCCGGAACUGCCUCCGAUACUGGCAAUCUGGAGUCCGGGAGAGGUGAGUGGAAUUCCGAGUGUAGAGGUGAAAUUCGUAGAUAUUCGGAAGAACACCAGUGGCGAAGGCGGCUCACUGGCCCGGAACUGACGCUGAGGUGCGAAAGCGUGGGGAGCAAACAGGAUUAGAUACCCCGGUAGUCC
rnacentral:rRNA from 1 species